rnacentral:rRNA from 1 species
CACGUAGGCGGAUUUGUAAGUCAGGGGUGAAAUCCCGGGGCUCAACCUCGGAACUGCCUUUGAUACUGCAAAUCUCGAGUCCGGAAGAGGUGAGUGGAAUUCCUAGUGUAGAGGUGAAAUUCGUAGAUAUUAGGAAGAACACCAGUGGCGAAGGCGGCUCACUGGUCCGGUACUGACGCUGAGGUGCGAAAGCGUGGGGAGAAC